rnacentral:rRNA from 1 species
CCGUCGAAGCGGACGCCCAUCUCGUACCCAGCACCCGCCGUCCGCAUGUACCAAUCCCUCCCCUGGCCCCGGCGCCGCCCCGCCCCCAUCCCCUCCCCUGGUUCUGCUCCGAUGCCGAUCCGGUAAACAACCGCCGGCAGGCUCCUCCCGUACGGCCGCCACGUCCACGCCCACCGCCGCUGCGCUCUGUACCCAACCUCCCACCAUCUUCUCAGCGACCCCGCAAGCCGUCGCCGGCUCGACCCCGCGUGUCGUGUGCCCGCUACCCCAUCCCGUCGCACCUCCCUACCCCCACCAUCUCUGACCACCGCCGCCGCCCAUUGCACUGCAGAACCACCUGUCGUCGCCCAUUGCACUGCAGAACCACCCGUCGCCGCCUACUGCAUCGAUAGGUGAGCUUCUGGUUCCUGAUUGUGUUGUCGUAAUUGCACUCAUCCUCUAUGGGGUCCAUCAGAACUGAAGUGCAUCACUCGAAUCAACCCAUUCUGUUGUUAUUCUUAAAUUGCGUGAUCUGUGAUAAUCGAUUUGUCUAACACCAAUGGCAUGCUCGUUCAUUUUAACUCACAGAAAGAUGACACCCUGCAUUCUUGCCGAGACUGUCAAUAUGUGGGAGAGAGGGCACUGUUAACUCCUUCCCAUUGUGCUCGUCUCAUGCUCGGAGGAGGCAAGAGCAAAUCCGGUGUGAUCCGGAUCAUCGUGCAGCCAAGCACAAACAGGAUCCACCAUGAUGCUCAAUAUGAGGACGCUGGGUGUGAGAUUUCAGAAGACCUAUCAGAGUGUGGUCUUAUCAUAGGCAUAAAGCAACCACAGUUGGAGAUGAUUCUUCCAGAUAGAGCAUAUGCGUUCUUCUCACACACCCACAAGGGCCCAGAAGGAGAAUAUGCCGUUGUUAGAUAUGGUAUUCAUUAUUGCGGGUGUGCAUUUCUGUCAAGGAAAUGGUGUGCUAAAUUGCUGGUUCAUAUUUUUCAGAUCAUGGAAGUAGGAGUGUCCUUGUUUGAUUAUGAGCUAAUUGCUGAUGACGAUGCGAAAGGAAUGCUGGCAUUUGCGAAAUUUUCUUGUAGAGCUGGGCUGAUAGACUUCUUGCAUGGUCUCGGACAGUGUAAAAACAUUAUUCAGUUCCUGAUAUUCUUAUCUCUAUGAUGCUCUCUUUGCUAUCUGGACUUAUCAGAAGUCUAUCACAAGCAAUUGCUCACGCAGAAGUGAAGUGCAAGUUCAUAUUACAUAGUUUUCAGUAUAAAGCAAUGUGUUUAGUGAUUGUUGACUAUGCAUUCAACUAAAGUAUUUACCUUGCAAUUGUAGGGUAUUUGAGCCUUCAAAAAUUCCAAGUUUCUCAUCUGUUUUUUGUUAUGACUGCGCUCAACUUGUUUGCGACUAUACCUAUGAAGACAAUCAAUUCUUUUCAAUU